rnacentral:rRNA from 1 species
AUUGAACGCUGGCGGCAUGCCUUACACAUGCAAGUCGAACGGCAGCAUGAUCUAGCUUGCUAGAUUGAUGGCGCGUGGCGAACGGGUGUGUAAUACAUCGGAACGUGCCCUGUAGUGGGGGAUAACUAGUCGAAAGAUUAGCUAAUACCGCAUACGACCUGAGGGUGAAAGUGGGGGACCGCAAGGCCUCAUGCUAUAGGAGCGGCCGAUGUCUGAUUAGCUAGUUGGUGGGGUAAAGGCUCACCAAGGCGACGAUCAGUAGCUGGCCUGAGAGGACGAUCAGCCACACUGGAACUGAGACACGGCCCAGACUCCUACGGGAGGCAGCAGUGGGGAAUAUUGGACAAUGGGCGAAAGCCUGAUCCAGCAAUGCCGCGUGUGUGAAGAAGGCCUUCGGGUUGUAAAGCACUUUUGUCCGGAAAGAAAAGGCGCUGGUUAAUACCUGGGGUCUAUGACGGUACCGAAAGAAUAAGGACCGGCUAACUACGUG